rnacentral:lncRNA from 1 species
UCCAAUCAGAAUCGAAGCUGGGAGCUCAGCUUAGAGAACAGGAAGUGGGAGCCACAUACCCCGAGCUGGCGGCUUGAGCCUGUGGUAUCUAGGCUCACCUCACUGCGGUUGGUGGAGGUGAUGGAGGUUGCAGCUUGGCCAGCAUGGUAGAAAGGUGGCAGGGUAGACUCUAGAUUCUAGAGGGCAACCUCUGUUUGCUCAUGCUGGAGCGUGGCAGGUGCACAAUGUUUCCUUGGGAAUCCUCAGCAGGGCACGUCUGGCUUUUACCACCCAGUUGCUUCGAGCCAGGAGAUGGAGGAGUCAUCUGUUGCACGCUGGAGGCUGGAGCCUGCAGAUGGCAUGGUUCUGUGGCUCACCUCGCUGCAGUUGGUGGCAGAGACAGAGACUGCAGCUUGACCAGAGUGGUGGAGUGAGUAUUGUCAUCUGCAUGAGCAAAUCUGGUUCAUCACAUCUUUGCAACAGGAAAAGGAAGGGAGGAUCAUGUGUAUAAUGUUUUAAGGCCAAGAUUCACAACAAGAACAAAGUCUUUAUUAACUUUUGCCUUCAAGAACCUGCAGUGUUGAGCCCUUUUUUAUUUCUGGUAUUACUACCUUUGAUAUGUAUCUCAAGAGCACUCCACAACAAAGAUUCUGCCUGCAAUCCUCCACUUCAAGGUCUGUUCCAGGAAACCUGUGUAACACAGUUAUGCAUAGAGUGGUCUUAGGAAGCUGACUCUAACAUGAAAAUUUAGAGUUGGAUCUUUUGCUGACAUAUUGAAUAUUCAUAAGAGCAUAUGAUACAUUUGUCUAUCAUAAACAUGUCAUUUCAAAAAACCCUCAAAGUUGCCUUGUAGAACAUAAUUUUAAAACUAGUGUGUAGGAAUAUUUCAUAUCAGUUAUUCAGUCUUCUUAAUAUCUGAACCGAAAUUAAUCUUCCAUUCUGCUUUUAUUUAUAAAUAAUGAUUUAUUGUCAGAUUCAAUAAUUUAUAUUUUCAUUUAUUCUAAGGUAGGAAAUACCAGCAUAAAAAUAAAUUAUUUGAAACAAAUCACAUUGUUGUCCCAUUUUACCAUUACUCACAUGUAGAAGAUAUUGUUUUUAACAAAAACAAUAAGAGAAACAGAAACUACCAUUUAUUAACUGAUGCUUACUGGAAGCUUUAGAAGGAUCUUAUUUAACUUUCAAUCAAGUUUUUCAUGGACAUUUUUGUUAUUGAGAAAUAAUUUUAAUUUAUCAGAUCCUCAAAGCAAAUUAUAUAGGUGCCAUUAUUAACAGAUUUUUUAAAAAAACCUGAUUCAUAGAAAAGGUUAAUGAUAUGGUUUGGAUCUUUGACCCCAUCAAAUCUCAUGUUGAAUUGCAAUCCCCAGUGCUGGAAGUGGGGCCUGGUGGGAGCUGAUUAAAUUAUGGAGGUGGAGUUCUCGUGAAUGGUAUAGCACCAUUCCUUUGGUGCUGUCUUGUGGUUGAGUUUUCAUGACAUUUGGUUGUUUAAAAGUUUGUGGCAUCUUUCCCAUCUCUCUCUUGCUCUUCCUGCAGCCAGGUGAAGGGCUGUUCCCCCUUUGCCUUCUGCCAUGAUUGUAAAUUUCCUGAGGCCUCCCCAAAAGCUGAGCAGGUGUCAGCAUCAUGCUUCCUUAACAGCCAAUGGAAUUACG